rnacentral:antisense_RNA from 1 species
CUUGAGGGAGCCGAGCCACAGCGGCCGGUCCUCCGGGCGGUUCCGGCCGUAGGUGGCGAGAACGGCCUGGGCUUC